GUGGAUUAGAUACCCUAGUAGUCCACGCCGUAAACGUUGGGCACUAGAUGUGGGGCUCAUUCCACGAGUUCCGCGUCGCAGCUAACGCAUUAAGUGCCCCGCCUGGGGAGUACGGCCGCAAGGCUAAAACUCAAAGGAAUUGACGGGGGCCCGCACAAGCGGCGGAGCAUGCGGAUUAAUUCGAUGCAACGCGAAGAACCUUACCAAGGCUUGACAUAUACCGGAAAAGUGCAGAGAUGUGCUCCCCGUAAGGUCGGUAUACAGGUGGUGCACGGCCGUCGUCAACU
rnacentral:rRNA from 1 species